ACCUUUUGUAUAAUGGGUCAGCGACUUAUAUUCUGUAGCAAGGUUAACCGAAUAGGGGAGCCGAAGGGAAACCGAGUCUUAACUGGGCGUUAAGUUGCAGGGUAUAGACCCGAAACCCGGUGAUCUAGCCAUGGGCAGGUUGAAGGUUGGGUAACACUAACUGGAGGACCGAACCGACUAAUGUUGAAAAAUUAGCGGAUGACUUGUGGCUGGGGGUGAAAGGCCAAUCAAACCGGGAGAUAGCUGGUUCUCCCCGAAAGCUAUUUAGGUAGCGCCUCGUGAAUUCAUCUCCGGGGGUAGAGCACUGUUUCGGCAAGGGGGUCAUCCCGACUUACCAACCCGAUGCAAACUGCGAAUACCGGAGAAUGUUAUCACGGGAGACACACGGCGGGUGCUAACGUCCGUCGUGAAGAGGGAAACAACCCAGACCGCCAGCUAAGGUCCCAAAGUCAUGGUUAAGUGGGAAACGAUGUGGGAAGGCCCAGACAGCCAGGAUGUUGGCUUAGAAGCAGCCAUCAUUUAAAGAAAGCGUAAUAGCUCACUGGUCGAGUCGGCCUGCGCGGAAGAUGUAACGGGGCUAAACCAUGCACCGAAGCUGCGGCAGCGACGCUUAUGCGUUGUUGGGUAGGGGAGCGUUCUGUAAGCCUGCGAAGGUGUGCUGUGAGGCAUGCUGGAGGUAUCAGAAGUGCGAAUGCUGACAUAAGUAACGAUAAAGCGGGUGAAAAGCCCGCUCGCCGGAAGACCAAGGGUUCCUGUCCAACGUUAAUCGGGGCAGGGUGAGUCGACCCCUAAGGCGAGGCCGAAAGGCGUAGUCGAUGGGAAACAGGUUAAUAUUCCUGUACUUGGUGUUACUGCGAAGGGGGGACGGAGAAGGCUAUGUUGGCCGGGCGACGGUUGUCCCGGUUUAAGCGUGUAGGCUGGUUUUCCAGGCAAAUCCGGAAAAUCAAGGCUGAGGCGUGAUGACGAGGCACUACGGUGCUGAAGCAACAAAUGCCCUGCUUCCAGGAAAAGCCUCUAAGCAUCAGGUAACAUCAAAUCGUACCCCAAACCGACACAGGUGGUCAGGUAGAGAAUACCAAGGCGCUUGAGAGAACUCGGGUGAAGGAACUAGGCAAAAUGGUGCCGUAACUUCGGGAGAAGGCACGCUGAUAUGUAGGUGAAGUCCCUCGCGGAUGGAGCUGAAAUCAGUCGAAGAUACCAGCUGGCUGCAACUGUUUAUUAAAAACACAGCACUGUGCAAACACGAAAGUGGACGUAUACGGUGUGACGCCUGCCCGGUGC
rnacentral:rRNA from 1 species